CCCUCACCAGAGCAGCACACGGUCUCUGCCCCCCAGUUCUGAGAGCUUCCCGGUCCCCGUGGAAACAGAGGGACCCCCAGACGCGUGUUCAUAGAGCGACACCCUCCUCCCGGGGUGUCCGCGUUAAACGGACGAUCAUUCUCGAGAAACUGAGAGACCGUCCUGCUGGUGGAUUUCUGCAGCCACGGCGCAGGCAGCCCUUUUGUGGAUACACGGUUAGGAACUGUUUUUCCAUAAAUUAGCACAAGAGAAAAACCCAUAAAAUUUGUCAGGAGGCUUCAGAAUUGUGCUAUUUUCACAGAGUACACAUUGGGGCGUGCGGGGAGCCAUAUGGCAUCUCAGGGCUGGGAAGGCGGGCGGCCCACAGACCCUGCCCUCAGCCCCGCGGCGCCGCCCGCAGAGGGACUGGCGGUCAUCGCUCACCACGCGGUCCAGCAUCGCUGGGGUCCCACCUGCUCCUCCCAGCUGUAGGGAACAUUAGAUAAUGGAACAGACACCACAGCGCGAGUGUUAACUAGGUGCCAGGUGCCGGGCGAGGUCCCCACGCGUGUCCCCGGUGCAGGCAGCAGGUGCAUCAUGACCUCUUGGGCUGGACAAGCCCAGUGGGGGCAGCAGCUGGGAGUGUCCCUGACAGUCAGGGGACAGACACCAAUGGGAUCAGUGCCAGUGGUGACCUGCGCCCCCGACCUCCCCCGACCGCUUCUCUCUGCAGCCAUGAAGGGUAGGCACGUGCCCAUCUGGGGCUGGUAAGCCACGCACAGAGGAGUGGGACCCGGUGCUCGCGGGACACCUGCUCCAUCCCGGACGGCCAGCUUGACUCCCAGGCAGACCCCUGAGGUUGGGAACAUCAUUCCCACGUUCCGCACAAUUGAGUGCUAAAGCUCAGAGAGGUUAGGUCACCUGCCCAGGGUCACAUGGCUCGUGGGUGGCAGAGUGGAUCCACAGCCACUGCGUCCCAGCAGGCCGGCUGGGUUGCACGGUCCACUCGAUUCCUCGCUGGCCUGCAGGCUGCGGCCUCCUACGAGGGCAGGCUUCUCCAGGGUCCCCGGCUCAUGGAACAGACUCUCAGCGGAGGGAUGAAGGACGACAGAGGGAAGGCCACUCGCCGUGUUGUGCUGGGUUCCCAAGGACUGUGCCAGACAACAGGGGCUCCAGUGACCCCACCCUCAGUCCAGGAUGAAGGGCCGCACGCGAACACGGGUGCUGCGAGGUGCCAAGGGCAGCGCACCAGGCUCUCAGACACGUGGAGGGACGGCGGUGGCUCCUGGCCUCUGCUGCCAGCUGUCUAGGGCAGAGGCAAUGUAGGUGGGCAGCCGGUGGCCAGGAGGUAAGCAUCACAUUUCAGGGGGUGUGCAAUGUGCCAAGAUGGGGACCACGGCGGUGCCCCGGGCACUCAGUCCAUCCUUCGCCCACCCCCUGCUUCACACACACACCUGCCCGGAGGUCCUCUCAGCCCACCUCCUCCCUAGUGUGCACAAGUGCACGGGGCAUGGGGAGGCAGCCCAAGGGGUUGGGGACCUGAUGGGGACCACAGGGCCCUUCAUCCCCAUAAUUUGCUGAGGUGAAGAUGGGGGACGCACUCGGCCACUGUAGACUUUCACCCCACAUCCCAACAUCCUGAACACGGCGGACGAGAGUUCAUCAGGCAGGUGCUGAGUGCCCAGCAGGUCCCGCGAUGGCUUGAGGUGCUGCGCCCACCACCCAGACCCCCUGCCCCAGACACACUGCAGGGAGGGGCAAAUGCAGCUCCUCUGUUUCUACAUCGAGUGACCACACAGGUUUUGCAAAUGUAAUAUUCGCUUAUGGUAAAGAACUAGAGCUACUCCAAACGUAUGAAGAAGAAAGCACACGGGGGCACCUGGGUGGCUCAGUGGUUGAGCGUCUGCCUUCGACUCAGGUCAUGAUCCCGGGGUCCUGGGAUCAAGUCCCACAUCGAGCUCCCUGCAGGGAGCCUGCUUCUCCCUCGGCCUGUGUCUCUGCCUCUCUGUGUGUCUCUCAUGAAUAAAUAAAUGAAAUCUUAAAAAAAAAAAAAAAGA
rnacentral:lncRNA from 12 species